UCACUUCGUUUGAAGCUAGUUGAAUUACUUGACAAAGUUGGAUCUCUAUGUUUGGUCAGGUUCCACGCAGGUGUAUUUUUUUUUUCCAAUUUUUCAUGGGUGUUUCCACGUUUUAGAUAAAGCAAUUUAACAAAACGAAAAACGAUUGUAUAUCUAUGCCUUCUCUUCUUCUUCUUUUUUUUCUGAAACACUAUAUAUGCCUUCUCUUCUUUUUUUGUUUAGUGGUACAAAUCUUAGAGUAUGAAUGGGAAGUGAAUAAAAAGUGGAGGAUCUGUUUCAAGUGGAUGAACCACUUUUAUAUUCCCAUUCAACAUUUUUUUCUAGUUAGAAUUUAGACUGCUUUUUAAAUUAUUAAAUUAAUGUUGAACCAUUAGUAGUUCUAUAACAUGAACAAAAAAAUGAAGAACCACUAUAUGCAACAAAUAUGGAGUGUUUCUCCCACAGGUAAUACUGUUUUGUAUUUUUUUCUUAUAAAAAUAAUAAUAAGCUUCUAAUUUAUUUAAAUAAUAAUAAUAUAUACAACAACUUACUAAUAUCUUCUUUUCUGUAUAUUUUAAAUAUAGAAGUACAUGCAAUUACCAAAUUUACGUUUUAAAUUUGUUAUACUUAUG
rnacentral:lncRNA from 1 species